CUCCCUGUGGCUCAGUUGGUAGAGCAUGGUGUUUGCAACGCCAGCAUGGUGUGUGCAACGCCAGGGUUGUGGGUUUGAUUCCCACAGGGGGC
rnacentral:tRNA from 1 species